UACGUAGGUGGCGAGCGUUGUCCGGAUUUAUUGGACGUAAAGCGAGCGCAGGUGGUUUAUUAAGUCUGGUGUAAAAGGCAGUGGCUCAACCAUUGUAUGCAUUGGAAACUGGUAGACUUGAGUGCAGGAGAGGAGAGUGGAAUUCCAUGUGUAGCGGUGAAAUGCGUAGAUAUAUGGAGGAACACCGGUGGCGAAAGCGGCUCUCUGGCCUGUAACUGACACUGAGGCUCGAAAGCGUGGGGAGCAAACAGG
rnacentral:rRNA from 1 species